UACGUAGGGUGCGAGCGUUGUCCGGAAUUACUGGGCGUAAAGAGCUCGUAGGUGGUUUGUCACGUCGUCUGUGAAAUUCCGGGGCUUAACCUCGGGCGUGCAGGCGAUUCGGGCAAUACUUGAGUGCUGUAGGGGAGACUGGAAUUCCUGGUGUAGCGGUGAAAUGCGCAGAUAUCAGGAGGAACACCAAUGGUGAAGGCAGGUCUCUGGGCAGUUACUGACGCUGAGGAGCGAAAGCAUGGGUAGCGAACAGGAUUAGAUA
rnacentral:rRNA from 1 species